GACGAACGCUGGCGGCGUGCCUAACACAUGCAAGUCGAGCGAGUGAAUUUCCUUCGGGAGUGAAGCUAGCGGCGGACGGGUGAGUAACACGUGGGCAACCUGCCUCAUAGAGGGGAAUAGCCUUCCGAAAGGAAGAUUAAUACCGCAUAAGAUUGUAGCUUCGCAUGAAGUAGCAAUUAAAGGGGCAAUCCGCUAUGAGAUGGGCCCGCGGCGCAUUAGCGAGUUUGUGAGGUAACGGCUCACCGAGGCGACGAUGCGUAGCCGACCUGGGAGGGUGAUCGGCCACAUUGGGACUGAGACGCGGCCCAGACUCCUACGGGAGGAAGCAGUGGGGAAUAUUGCACAAUGGGGGAAACCCUGAUGCAGCAACGCCGCGUGAGUGAUGACGGCCUUCGGGUUGUAAAGCUCUGUCUUCAGGGACGAUAAUGACGGUACCUGAGGAGGAAGCCACGGCUAACUACGUGCCAGCAGCCGCAGUAA
rnacentral:rRNA from 1 species